rnacentral:rRNA from 1 species
UACGUAGGGGGCAAGCGUUGUCCGGAUUCAUUGGGCGUAAAGAGCGUGUAGGCGGCCAGGUAGGUCGGUUGUGAAAACUGGAGGCUCAACCUUCAGAGGUCGACCGAAACCAUCUGGCUAGAGUCCGGGAGAGGAGAGUGGAAUUCCUGGUGUAGCGGUGAAAUGCGCAGAUAUCAGGAGGAACACCAACGGCGAAGGCAGCUCUCUGGGACGUUACUGACGCUGAGACGCGAAAGCGUGGGGAGCAAACAGG